GACGAACGCUGGCGGCGUGCUUAACACAUGCAAGUCGAACGGUAAGGCCCUUCGGGGUACACGAGUGGCGAACGGGUGAGUAACACGUGGGUGAUCUGCCCUGCACUUCGGGAUAAGCCUGGGAAACUGGGUCUAAUACCGGAUAGGACUCCUGGCUCCAUGGUUGGGGGUGGAAAGCUUUUGCGGUGUGGGCUGGGCCCGCGGCCUAUCAGCUUGUUGGUGGGGUAAUGGCCUACCAAGGCGACGACGGGUAGCCGGCCUGGGAGGGUGACCGGUAACACUGGGACUGGGAUACGGCCCAGACUCCUACGGGAGGCAGCAGUGGGGAAUAUUGCACAAUGGGCGCAAGCCUGAUGCAGCGACGCCGCGUGAGGGAUGACGGCCUUCGGGUUGUAAACCUCUUUCAGCUAUGACGAAGCGCAAGUGACGGUAGUAGCAGAAGAAGGACCGGCCAACUACGUGCCAGCCGCCGCGGUAA
rnacentral:rRNA from 1 species